GCGUUUCGCAUUUGCCCCUUGGCCCUGGUCUCUCGGUCUUGCUGCCUUCAGGCUUUAACUCCUCAUAGCUCCCUGUAGAUCAACCUCAUUCCUGCCUCUGGGGCUUUGUGAUGUCAGGUGUCCUCCUGGGAAUGCUCCUCUCCCCACACCCCACCAUGUAAGACCCCUCCCAGGACAUUGCUGCUGGCCUUCCUGGCACGUCCCAGCACUGCCCUGUGCUUCGUGUGGCUUGCUGGCUGCCCUGUGCCCAGGUGGCUUAGGACCUGGCCCCUGCAGGGCAGUGUUCUCUGUCCCACCUGGGUGGGGGCCAUGAAUGCCCCAUGCUCUGGGCUCAGCUGGAGAGCUCAGUGCAGACUGCUGACUCAUGAAGACAAGAAGGAAACAAGAUGAGAAAACCCAGAGAGGAGGUUAGAGGAGGCACCCCUGCGAUCCUGGUACUCUACGGUGGCCGAGCCUCCUGAAGGCCCCGAAGUCCCAGUGGGGGUUGCUGUUGAACCGGUGCUGCUUCUGGUACACGCGGUAGUGACUGGCUGGGCGAUCUGGGGAGCGAGCCGGGGCUGGGCUGGGUCCCAGAGGCCUCCCCAGCCCCAGCCUGGGGCAGCCCACAUCCGGAGAGCUCAGCAUCCUGUGCUCACAAGAGUGAGUGCUGAGACACAGUUCCCCUCUCAUGUACGUAACGUGCCCUUAGUAAUCAUGCUGCCAGGCAUCACUCUUCUUCCCUCUGCCCACAGAGAGGGCACACUCUGAGCAGGGGGCACCAGGCCUGACGCCCCUCUGUGGGUGAGGCCAGCCUGAUGCCCUGGGACUCUCAGAGCAGGGACGUGUUCAACUGUGUACCCCUGGAAGGCAGCACAGUAUGGGCAUGCAGCAGGUACUCAAUACAUGCUAUGGGAUGGCUGAGAGAAUGAGCAGCUAAGGAGGUGGAUGGGGCUGCCAUACAGGCAGGCGCCACCUGGUUGUUCCUGCUGCACAAGGAGGCCUUACCUGUGUGCAGGUGUCAGUUCUUCUUCCUGAGCCCCCCAGCCCCGCAUGAUGGGGCUCUGAUCUUACCUCCCUCACAGGGGGGAGAAGGGGG
rnacentral:lncRNA from 1 species